rnacentral:rRNA from 1 species
GAUGAACGCUGGCGGCGUGCCUAAUACAUGCAAGUCGAGCGAACGGACGAGAAGCUUGCUUCUCUGAUGUUAGCGGCGGACGGGUGAGUAACACGUGGAUAACCUACCUAUAGACGGGGAUAACUUAGGGAAACCGGAGCUAAUACCGGUAGAUAUUUCGAACCCCAGGGUUCAAAAGUGAAAUACGGUCUUUCUGUCACUUAUAGAUGGAUCCGCGCUGUAUUAGAUAGUUGGUAAGGUAACGGCUUACCAAGGCAACGAUGCAUAGCCGACCUGAGAGGGUGUUCGCCCACCCUGGAACUGGACCAGGCUCAGGACUCCUACGGGAGGCAGCAGUCGGCAACCUUCGGCAAUGGGCGAAAGCAUGCCGGAGCAACCCGGCGUGAGUGAUAACGGUCUCCGGAUCGUAAUGCCCUGUUAUUAGGGAGAAACAGAUGUGUAAGUAAAUGUGCACAUCUUGACGGUACCUAAUCAGAAAGCCACGGCUAACUACGUG